UUUUUGGAGAGUUUGAUCCUGGCUCAGGACGAACGCUGGCGGCGUGCCUAAUACAUGCAAGUCGAGCGGACA
rnacentral:rRNA from 1 species